rnacentral:rRNA from 1 species
AUUGAACGCUGGCGGAAUGCUUUACACAUGCAAGUCGAGCGGCAGCGCGGGGUAACCUGGCGGCGAGCGGCGAACGGGUGAGUAAUACAUCGGAACGUGCCCAGACGUGGGGGAUAGCCCGGCGAAAGCCGGAUUAAUACCGCAUGAGAUCUGAGGAUGAAAGCAGGGGACCUUCGGGCCUUGCGCGUUUGGAGCGGCCGAUGGCAGAUUAGGUAGUUGGUGAGGUAAAGGCUUACCAAGCCUGCGAUCUGUAGCUGGUCUGAGAGGAUGAUCAGCCACACUGGGACUGAGACACGGCCCAGACUCCUACGGGAGGCAGCAGUGGGGAAUUUUGGACAAUGGGCGCAAGCCUGAUCCAGCCAUUCCGCGUGCAGGAUGAAGGCCCUCGGGUUGUAAACUGCUUUUGUACAGAACGAAAAAGGCCUGGCUAAUAUCUGGGUCUCAUGACGGUACUGUAAGAAUAAGCACC